GGGCCGGUAGCUCAGCUGGUAGAGCAAAGGACUGAAAAUCCGUGUGUCGGCGGUUCAACUCCGCCUUGGCCCACCA
rnacentral:tRNA from 1 species